AGAGUUUGAUCCUGGCUCAGGACGAACGCUUGCGGCGUGCCUAAGAAAUGCAAGUCGAACGGGAAGAGCAAUCUUCUAGUGGCGAACGGUCGCGUAACACGUAGGCAACCUGCCCAGAAGUGGGGGACAACAGCUUGAAAGAGCUGCUAAUACCGCAUGUGGCCAAUCGGUGGCAUCACUGAUUGUCUAAAGCUUUAUGCGCUUCUGGAUGGGCUUGCGGCCUAUCAGGUAGUUGGUGGGGUAAUGGCCUACCAAGCCGACGACGGGUAGCUGGUCUGAGAGGACGAUCAGCCGGAUUGGGACUGAGAUACGGCCCAGACUCCUACGGGGGGCAGCAAUUAGGAAUCUUGCGCAAUGGGGGCAACCCUGACGCAGCGACGCCGCGUGCGGGAUGAAGGCAUUCGUGUCGUAAACCGCUUUUUACGGGGAAGAAGAAUUUGACGGUACCCGUCGAAUAAGCCCCGGCUAACUACGUGCCAGCAGCCGCGGUAAUACGUAGGGGGCGAGCGUUGUCCGAAGUUACUGGGCGUAAAGCGCGCGUAGGCGGUUCAUUUAGUUCGGGGUGAAAGGUUCAACGCUCAACGUGAACAGUGCCUUGAAUACUGGUGGACUUGAGUUCGGGAGAGGGCUGGAAUUCCUGGUGUAGCGGUGAAAUGCGUAGAUAUCAGGAGGAACACCGAUGGCGAAGGCAGCUGCCUGGCCUAGAACUGACGCUGAGGUGCGAAAGCGUGGGGAGCGAACAGGAUUAGAUACCCUGGUAGUCCACGCCGUAAACGAUGAGUGCUAGGUGUUCGGGGUAUCGACCCCCCGGGUGCCGCCGCUAACGCAGUAAGCACUCCGCCUGGGGAGUACGGCCGCAAGGUUGAAACUCAAAGGAAUUGACGGGGGCCCGCACAAGCGGUGGAGCAUGUGGAUUAAUUCGUCACUAACCGAAGAACCUUACCCAGGCUUGACAUCGCGUGUAACUCUGUGAAAGCAGAGCCCCUCCGCAAGGAGGCACAAAGACAGGUGUUGCAUGGCUGUCGUCAGCUCGUGUCGUGAGAUGUUGGGUUAAGUCCCGCAACGAGCGCAACCCUCACCGUAUGUUGGCAGCGUGAAGUCGGCAACUCUUACGGAACUGCCCGUGCAAGCGGGAGGAAGGUGGGGAUGACGUCAAGUCGGCAUGGCCCUUACGCCUGGGGCUUCACACAUGCUACAAUGGGCAGCAACAGACGGCUCCGAGACCGCGAGGUUGAGGGAAUCCGAGAAAUCUGUCCUCAGUUCGGAUUGCAGGCUGCAACUCGCCUGCAUGAAGCUGGAAUCGCUAGUAACCGCAGGUCAGCUAAACUGCGGUGAAUACGUUCCCGGGCCUUGUACACACCGCCCGUCAAGUCACCUGAAUUGUCUGCACCCGAAGCCAGUGGCCGAACUCGCAAGAGACGGAGCUGUCUAAGGUGUGGGGAGUAAGGGGGACUAAGUCGUAACAAGGUA
rnacentral:rRNA from 1 species